rnacentral:rRNA from 1 species
UACGUAGGGGCCUAGCGUUGUCCGGAUUUAUUGGGCGUAAAGAGCUCGUAGGCGGUUCGGCAAGUCGGAUGUGAAAUCUCCACGCUCAACGUGGAGGGGCCAUUCGAAACUGCCCGACUAGAGGUAGGUAGGGGAGAUCGGAAUUCCUGGUGUAGCGGUGAAAUGCGCAGAUAUCAGGAGGAACACCGGUGGCGAAGGCGGAUCUCUGGGCCUUACCUGACGCUCAGGUGCGAAAGCUAGGGGAGCGAACAGG